UCAAGCUACAAAGAGCACAAGGGGAAUGCCUUGGCACCGAGAGCCGAAGAAGGACGUGACUAACUGCGAUAAGCUGCGGGGAGCCGUAAGUAGGCUUUGAUCCGCAGAUUUCCGAAUGGAGCAAUCCGGCAAGAGGAAAGUCUUGUCAUCAUAUACUGAAUACAUAGGUAUAUGAGGGGAACCGCCUGAACUGAAACAUCUAAGUAGGGCGAGGAAGAGAAAUCAACUGAGAUUCCGUAAGUAGUGGCGAGCGAACGCGGAAGAGGCCAAACCGAGAGUAGUAAUACUUUCGGGGUUCGGACAGAAUACGGUAUUGUAAAGGUUUAGUGGAAUGGAAUGGGAAGUCCAACCGAAGAAGGUGAGAGUCCUGUACACGAAAAGCCUGAACAGCCAUCUGUAUCCAGAGUACCGCCGGACACGUGAAACCCGGUGGGAAUAUGGGGGGACCAUCCUCCAAGCCUAAAUACUACUCGGUGACCGAUAGUGAAGAAGUACUGUGAAGGAAAGGUGAAAAGUACCCCUGACGGGGAGUGAAAAAGAACCUGAAACCUUGUGUUUACAAGCACCGAAAGCUCAUCAAAGAGCGAUCGGGUACCUUUUGUAGAAUGGUCCGGCGAGUGAAUGUAACCGGCGAGGUUAAGCACUUAAGGUGUGAAGCCGCAGCGAGAGCAAGUCUGAAUAGGGCGUAUGAAGUCGGUUGUAUUCGACCCGAAACCGGGUGACCUACCCAUGGUCAGGUUGAAGUAAAGGUAAAACUUUAUGGAGGACCGAACCGACUCCCGUUGAAAUGGUAGCGGAUGAACUGUGGGUAGCGGAGAAAUUCCAAUCGAACCCGGAGAUAGCUGGUUCUCUCCGAAAUAGCUUUAGGGCUAGCCUUGAAAUAGAUUACCGGAGGUAAAGCACUGAAUUGGCUAGGGGCCGAGAGGUUACUGAACCUUAUCAAACUAAGAAUGCCGGAUAAUCGUUUUUCAGGAGUCAGACAGUGGGAGAUAAGUUUCAUUGUCAAAAGGGAAACAGCCCAGACCCACAGCUAAGGUCCCCAAGUAUAGUUAAGUGGAAAAGGAUGUGGAAUUGCACAGACAACCAGGAUGUUGGCUUAGAAGCAGCCACUCAUUAAAAGAGUGCGUAAUAGCUCACUGGUCGAGUGACUCUGCGCCGAAAAUUUAACGGGGCUAAACUAUACACCGAAGCUUGGGAUACAUCUAAUGUAUGGUAGGAGAGCGUUCUGUAUGGGGAGAAGUCGUAGCGAAAGCGGCGGUGGACUAUACAGAAGUGAGAAUGCCGGAAUAAGUAGCGAGAAUUAAGUGAGAAUCUUAAUGGCCGAAAGUCUAAGGUUUUUGGAGGAAGGUUCGUCCGCUCCAAGUAAGUCGGGAGCUAAGGUCAGGCCGAAAGGCGUAGCCGAUGCACAUACGGUUGAUAUUCCGUAACCAUCUGUAAUUUAAGCAAAGGGACACUUCAAAAGGGUGUGACCCGGGCGUUGGUUGACCCGGGCGUAAGGGACCGAAAUUAGAGUAGGGAAGCACACUUAGCUGAAGGCGAGAAAAGCUUUGCGUAUAGAAACAGAUGCCCGUACCGCAAACCGACACAGGUGGACAGGAAGAGAAUUCUAAGGCCAGCGGGAGAAGGGUAGUUAAGGAACUCGGCAAAUUGACUCCGUAACUUCGGAAUAAGGAGUGCUCGAAAGAGCCGCAGAGAAUAGGCCCAGGCGACUGUUUAGCAAAAACACAGGUCUCUGCCAAAUCGAAAGAUGAAGUAUAGGGGCUGACACCUGCCCGGUGCCGGAAGGUUAAGAGGAGGAGUGAGAGCUCCGAAUUGAAGCCCCGGUAAACGGCGGCCGUAACUAUAACGGUCCUAAGGUAGCGAAAUUCCUUGUCAGGUAAG
rnacentral:rRNA from 1 species